AAAAAAAAAAAAAAAAAAUUCACUCAGGGGCGCGAGCGCACGUCAAGUAUCAUUUACAAGAGCGCGCUGCCAGGUCACGGGGUCUUUCCUUAACUCGUAACUGAUUGGCUGAAUGUCUGAUAGAAUAUUUAAAUCAGCGCGCGGUGAUUGGACGCGAUGAGAGCAGUUAUGCAAAUGAGCACCUGGUAGUGGUCUCUAGGAGAAAGGCAAAGGACGGAAAGCCUGAGAGCGGUUGUUAGAGCUGUGGCUAUUCUGUUUAGAUUUAACCUAAGAAACUACUCGGUUAAAUAUAUUAACUUAAAUGACUCCAAGUGUGCACAGCUGUUGAAAUCUUUAGUGUUUAAAUCGUUUCCCCCCUCACACACACACACCCGUCUAAACUAAACUACAGUGAACUCACACCGCUUUUAGUCUCGCGCGCGUGUUUGUGUUUGUGAAAGCGGUAGAGUUACUGUUAAUCCUGCGGUUUAAUAAUAAUAACAAUAAUAAAAACCGUUGGAUUUUUACCUGCACAAAACUGAAGAACUCGGAUUAAAGCAAAGAAGGACCAACGGGGGAAAAUUAAGAAAAACUUUUUCAAGCGGACAUCAAAUCGGGAAAAGCUUCUCCUUGCCUGGCUUUUCGCACAGGUGUGGUGCUGUGGGAACUGUCAGAAAGCAGGUGCGCACUCACUGCCAGCACUGAAGACCUGGACAAGCGCAGACCUGCUUCUCUCCGAUACUGAACCCCACCUCCCACGGAUUCGUAUCGGUUCAAAUGCAGGAGUCUUUCUCACAAUUGUAUUCCUUUUUUUUUUUUUUUUUUUUUAACACGGAUUUCGGUUUCUACAGUUCAGAAAGCAGACGCGCGGCGGUCCCCGCACGACCCGAUCUGAACUCGGUCGUCGGCGUUAAAGCGCUGAAAUUGUCAUUUUUUUACAACUGUGUUCUUGGCCUGGGUCGCAUCACGUAUUUUAGUGAUGGCUAUUUCAUAUUAGAAAAAUAUGACCGUGAAUGUGUUCUCCCUUUCUCUUCCAUGUGCUCUGGUUCUCCCAUUCCCCAACUUUCUUUUAAACCAAGUGUAUCUGAUCAAGCAGCCGCACAUGGUCAGCAUAAACCGAGGCGUUAUAAAUCAGUAGGAAACACAAACAUGCUUGGCUGGAAUAUGAAUCGCCCUGGCGCGGUCUCUUUCUGUUUGACGGAUUUGAUGAAUCGUAUCAUAUCCACGCGUCUCUCCGGGCGACGCUUUAAGGUUUUUAUCCGAAAGCGAACGUCCUUUCCGGUUUUUCUUCCUUUUUCUUUUCGUCUCCCUUUCA
ensembl:lncRNA